rnacentral:rRNA from 1 species
GAUGAACGUUGGCGGCGUGCCUAAUACAUGCAAGUCGAACGAAGACUGUAGUAAUACUGUCUUAGUGGCGAACGGGUGAGUAACGCGUGGGUGACCUGCCCCGAAGUGUGGGAUAACAGUCCGAAAGGAUUGCUAAUACUGCAUAAUAUCCAAGAGAUUAGAUGCUUUUGGAUUAAAGGUGAAAAUCACUUCGGGAGGGGCCUGCGUCCCAUCAGCUAGUUGGUAAGGUAAUGGCUUACCAAGGCGAUGACGGGUAGGGGACCUGAGAGGGUGGCCCCCCACAAUGGAACUGAAACACGGUCCAUACACCUACGGGUGGCAGCAGUAGGGAAUAUUGCAAAUGGGCGAAAGCCUGAUGUAGCAACGCCGCGUGUGCGAUGAAGGUCUUCGGAUUGUAAAGCACUUUUUGGAGGGAUGAGGGAGGACAGUACCUCCAGAAUAAGCCUCGGCUAACUACGUG